GGCUCAGGACGAACGCUGGCGGCGUGCUUAACACAUGCAAGUCGAACGGUGAAGCUCCAGCUUGCUGGAGUGGAUCAGUGGCGAACGGGUGAGUAACACGUGAGCAACCUGCCCCUGACUCUGGAAUAAGCGCUGGAAACGGCGUCUAAUACUGGAUACGAGAAGGGCCCGCAUGGGCACUUUCUGGAAAGUUUUUCGGUUGGGGAUGGGCUCGCGGCCUAUCAGCUUGUUGGUGAGGUAAUGGCUCACCAAGGCGACGACGGGUAGCCGGCCUGAGAGGGCGACCGGCCACACUGGGACUGAGACACGGCCCAGACUCCUACGGGAGGCAGCAGUGGGGAAUAUUGCACAAUGGGCGAAAGCCUGAUGCAGCGACGCCGCGUGAGGGAUGACGGCCUUCGGGUUGUAAACCUCUUUCAGCAGGGAAGAAGCGAAAGUGACGGUACCUGCAGAAGAAGCACCGGCUAACUACGUGCCAGCAGCCGCGGUAAUACGUAGGGUGCGAGCGUUGUCCGGAAUUAUUGGGCGUAAAGAGCUU
rnacentral:rRNA from 1 species